GCAAGUCGGACGAGAUUUUCCGUUGUAGCAAUACGAUGGAAAGUCUAGUGGCGAACGGGUGCUUAACACGUGGGCAACCUGCCAAGAAGUGGGGGAUAGCUCGCCGAAAGGCGAAUUAAUACCGCAUGUGAUUAGAGAGGACAUCCUUUCGAAAUUAAAGUCGGGGCAACCUGACGCUUUUUGUGGGGCCCGCGGCCUAUCAGCUAGUUGGUGAGGUAACGGCUCACCAAGGCUUUGACGGGUAGCUGGUCUGAGAGGACGACCAGCCACACUGGGACUGAGACACGGCCCAGACACCUACGGGUGGCAGCAGUCGAGAAUUUUUGACAAUGGGGGAAACCCUGAUCGAGCGACGCCGCGUGGAGGAUGAAGGUCUUCGGAUUGUAAACUCCUGUCAUUGGGGAACAAUGCGUGACGGUUAACUGCCGUUUCGUUGAUAGUACCCGAAGAGGAAGAGACGGCUAACUCUGUGCCAGCAGCCGCGGUAAUACAGAGGUCUCAAGCGUUGUUCGGAUUCAUUGGGCGUAAAGGGUGCGUAGGCGGCGCGGUAAGUCGGGUGUGAAAUCUCGGAGCUUAACUUCGAAACUGCAUUCGAUACUGCCGUGCUUGAGGACUGGAGAGGAGACUGGAAUUUACGGUGUAGCGGUGAAAUGCGUAGAUAUCGUAAGGAAGACCAGUGGCGAAGGCGGGUCUCUGGACAGUUCCUGACGCUGAGGCACGAAGGUCAGGGGAGCAAACGGGAUUAGAUACCCCCGGUAGUCCUGACAGUAAACGGUGCACG
rnacentral:rRNA from 1 species